UGUUAAAAAUUUCAUCCAUUUCAACCGUUAAAAACUUAUAUAGCUACUAAAUAAUCAAACAGUUACACAUGACGUGCCAUAUGUAUCUUAUGCUGACAUACAAGAAGUAGUUUUUAACAAUAGCAAUGGAUGAAUUUUUUAAUA
rfam:Gossypium hirsutum cultivar TM-1 unplaced genomic scaffold scaffold2880.1, whole genome shotgun sequence